GUGGAUUAGAUACCCUGGUAGUCCACGCUGUAAACGAUGGAUACUAGGUGUGGGAGGUAUCGACCCCUUCCGUGCCGCAGUAAACGCAAUAAGUAUCCCGCCUGGGGAGUACGGCCGCAAGGUUGAAACUCAAAGGAAUUGACGGGGGCCCGCACAAGCAGCGGAGCAUGUGGUUUAAUUCGAAGCAACGCGAAGAACCUUACCAGAACUUGACAUCCCUUGCAUUACUCUUAACCGAGGAAAUCCUUCGGGACAAGGAGACAGGUGGUGCAUGGCCGUCGUCAACU
rnacentral:rRNA from 1 species